CCGUCACGCGCCUCCACCGCCGCGCAGGUUGCUUCGCCGCAGAAUUCCGUUUUCCGCUAAGGAUCUCCAAAAUGACAACGCCAAAGCUGAAGACAUCGGACUUAAUAGAAAAGAUGCCCUUCGAAGCAUACUCAGGGGCCAUGUAGCCACUAGAAAGUGUUUCCUUCGGUGUCAUUUGAGCUAAAUAUUUUUGCUAGCCCGAAAUCUGAAAUUUUUGGAUUCAUCUCACCAUCGAGAAGAAUGUUGCUCGGUUUAAGAUCUCGAUGUACGACAAGCAACCGGGAGUGCUUAUGCAGAUCAUGCCGGCUUGCGAGAAUAGAAAAGUUCAGGAAAGUGUGAAAAGGCAUUAUAAACUACCAAAUUCAGUGAGGAAAUGGUCAUCGCUGCAUCUUGCCCGUGUUGGUGAUCUUUUGCUGGAAGGAUUAUGUAUUUAUGUGAAGAAUAGCAAGAAGUAAGGAAAGGGAGAUGAGAUCGACACCACAGCUGGCUGUAAAUGUAUUCAUCUCCUACUCCGAAAAAGAGCAAAUAGCAGAGCAUAUGACUGCUACAGUGGUCAGUACACAAAAGAGAAGAAAAGAUAACUUACAGGGGCUAAAAGAUGAAAAGCAAGGAUCAAUUUGAGGAGAGGAGAGAGAUUACAAGGACUUGAAAGCAAAAAGGCUGGAUCACGCAAUGUGCAUGACCUGCUGCUACACCACACGGCCAGAACUGAAGACGGGCGACACUACUCUUCGUCAGGAAGAAAGGGUAGGUGAAAAGAGGGGGCUGGAGAUCAUCCAUCACCAACGAGAGCAGAGGGCGAUGGAGAUAGGGUUUUCAUCAUCGCUCUUGCUGCUGAGCCGCAUCACCAACACGCCACCACUACUGCAACACGCUGCUUCCCUACAUUACAAGCUGCAAGCUCCGUCCCUUGCGUGACGCGACCUGCUGCUCAUCGCCAACUCCAGCGCCAGCGACGAAGACCAUGGCGACCUGAAGUUCUCCUCCCUACGGUCCCUGCUCCUCCUCCUCUUCAACAAACCUGAAGCUCUCCAUACUCUCCUUCCCCUGCUCCGACACCGCAGCGACAACGCUAAGAUCGGCUCCAAGUUCUUGGUGACAAAGUCCUGGCCUAAUAUUUCCCUUGUCUUACCUUUCUGUUGUAUGCACUGGCCUGUGGACAAGAGAAGUUGUCAAAGUUCAUCCAUGUUUUAGUAGUUGAUGCUUGUAAUACUGUCACGUGUUUGUGUUUCUAUCAUGCGGACCAUCAUGCUGUGAUCUUCUGUUGAUUGA